AACAAAUCUCCACCUUUUGACAAACACCACACACCAACGACAUCGACAUUUCCGAAACGGCAAAACCAAUCUCUUCCCUUUGUCCUUUUGUGAAGCUUCUCAAUGUCACCGGAUCAUUGCCUCCUCCGGCGAAUUACUCCAGUGAACUCUCCCUUCUCCGGCUAACACCAAUGUUCUCGCCGGCAAUCAACUCCAGCUGCGUUUCUGCUCAAUCAUUCUCGGCGUUCUAGCUCCUCCUUGAAUUUGAGACAUCAACUUCAUCUUCUUGAAUGAAAUAAACACAGCUCCUUCGAUGAUGCUUCUCUGGUGAAUCUCAUCAUUGCUUCCUCUGCAACUCCCAGAUGAUGAGCUCCACCUUGUCAUCACCAGCAAAAUUCAUUGCUUCUCUCUUGAGAUCAUGUUCAACCUUUGGUAAGCAAUCUUCUCACCAGCUCCCCUUUUUUUUUCUUCGUGACUCCACCUGAAACUAGAGUCCCUGUGGUCGCUGCUCCUGUUCACCGGAUGUUGAGAAGCUCACAGCAAAGCUGGAACUUCUGACCAGCGCCUAUGACUUCAUUCAACUUCAAAGUAUCUCUACCAUACUUUAGAGUCUCCUUGAGUUGAUCAUACCUCUCAGAUAGUGAGCUCAACAACAGGAUUGCUUGAACCUCUUCAGUAACUUCCACUCCUAUGUUAUUCAGGAUCAAUACUUGGAGACAACCCAGAACCUCCACUUGUGCCCGUUUGAGAGUCUCGUUGAGCUAUUGUAGCUUCCG